CCCUUAGAGUUUGAUCCUGGCUCAGGACGAACGCUGGCGGCGUGCUUAACACAUGCAAGUCGAACGAUGAACACCGGAGCUUGCUCUGGUGGGAUUAGUGGCGAACGGGUGAGUAACACGUGAGCAAUCUGCCCCCGACUCUGGGAUAAGCGUUGGAAACGACGUCUAAUACCGGAUACGACACCUCCUGGCAUCAGGUGGGUGUGGAAAGAAUUUCGGUUGGGGAUGAGCUCGCGGCCUAUCAGCUUGUUGGUGAGGUAACGGCUCACCAAGGCGACGACGGGUAGCCGGCCUGAGAGGGUGACCGGCCACACUGGGACUGAGACACGGCCCAGACUCCUACGGGAGGCAGCAGUGGGGAAUAUUGCACAAUGGGCGCAAGCCUGAUGCAGCAACGCCGCGUGGGGGACGAAGGCCUUCGGGUUGUAAACCCCUUUUAGCAGGGAAGAAGCGCAAGUGACGGUACCUGCAGAAAAAGCACCGGCUAACUACGUGCCAGCAGCCGCGGUAAUACGUAGGGUGCAAGCGUUGUCCGGAAUUAUUGGGCGUAAAGAGCUCGUAGGCGGUGUGUCGCGUCUGCUGUGAAAAUCCAAGGCUCAACCUUGGACCUGCAGUGGGUACGGGCACACUAGAGUGCGGUAGGGGAGAUUGGAAUUCCUGGUGUAGCGGUGGAAUGCGCAGAUAUCAGGAGGAACACCGAUGGCGAAGGCAGAUCUCUGGGCCGUAACUGACGCUGAGGAGCGAAAGCGUGGGGAGCGAACAGGAUUAGAUACCCUGGUAGUCCACGCCGUAAACGGUGGGAACUAGAUGUGGGGUCCGUUCCACGGAUUCCGUGUCGCAGCUAACGCAUUAAGUUCCCCGCCUGG
rnacentral:rRNA from 1 species